UACGUCGGGUGCAAGCGUUACUCGGAAUUACUGGGCGUAAAGCGUGCGCAGGCGGUUGUUCAAGACAGAUGUGAAAUCCCCGGGCUUAACCUGGGAACUGCAUUUGUGACUGCACGGCUGGAGUGCGGCAGAGGGGGAUGGAAUUCCGCGUGUAGCAGUGAAAUGCGUAGAUAUGCGGAGGAACACCGAUGGCGAAGGCAAUCCCCUGGGCCUGCACUGACGCUCAUGCACGAAAGCGUGGGGAGCAAACAGG
rnacentral:rRNA from 1 species